rnacentral:lncRNA from 1 species
UCUCUCUCUCUCGAUAUGAGUGGUAACGGCUUUAAGCAAACAUUCCACAUGUCCUUUGCCUUCCAUUGCGAGCUUGCUCCCCAUCUUACUUUCCUUUAAAUUUUAUGUGCAUAUAAUAGAAAAAGCAAUAGAUACUAUAGAUAAUACAGAUGAUGACUACAGAUAUAAUGCAAUAUCUGCUUUCCUUUUCCUUCAAUUCUUCUGAGAUUUAUCCUGACAAACAAUUAGGUAUAAUAAUUUGAUAUUGCUUA